rnacentral:rRNA from 1 species
GAUUAACGCUGGCGGCGUGCCUAACACAUGCAAGUCGAGCGGCAGCGAGUUUUACACUGAAUUCUGGAAACUUCUGGUAUAAAUAGAAGAGUUAUUCAAGAAUUUUGUGUAAAAUGUCGGCGAGCGGCGGACGGCUGAGUAACGCGUGGGAAUGUACCCCAAAGUGAGGGAUAACGCACCGAAAGGUGUGCUAAUACCGCAUAUGAUCUUCGGAUUAAAGCCUUCGGGCGCUUUGGGAAUAGCCUGCGUCAGAUUAGAUAGUUGGUGAGGUAAUGGCUCACCAAGUCGACGAUCUGUAACUGGUUUGAGAGGAUGAUCAGUCAGACUGGAACUGAGACACGGUCCAGACUCCUACGGGAGGCAGCAGUGAGGAAUCUUCCACAAUGGGCGAAAGCCUGAUGGAGCAACGCCGCGUGCAGGAUGAAGGCCUUCGGGUUGUAAACUGCUUUUAUAAGUGAGGAUUAUGACAGUAACUUAUGAAUAAGGAUCGGCUAACUACGUGCCAGCAGCCGCGGUCAUACGUAGGAUCCGAGCGUUAUCCGGAGUGACUGGGCGUAAAGAGUUGCGUAGGUGGUUUAAUAAGCGAAUAGUGAAAUCUGGUGGCUCAACCAUUCAGACUAUUAUUCGAACUGUUGAACUCGAGAGCAGAAGAGGUAGCAGGAAUUUCUAGUGUAGGAGUGAAAUCCGUAGAUAUUAGAAGGAACACCGAUGGCGUAGGCAGGCUACUGGGCUGUUUCUGACACUGAGGCACGAAAGCGUGGGGAGCGAACCGGAUUAGAUACCCGGGUAGUCCACGCCGUAAACGAUGGAUACUAGCUGUUUGGGGUAUCGACCCCCUGAGUAGCGAAGCUAACGCGUUAAGUAUCCCGCCUGUGGAGUACGACCGCAAGAUUAAAACAUAAAGGAAUUGACGGGGACCCGCACAAGCGGUGGAUCAUGUUCUUUAAUUCGAUGAUAACCGAUAAACCUUACCAGGUCUUGACAUCCUUGGAAUCUUUCAGAAAUGAGAGAGUGCUUUUUAAGAGCCAAGUGACGGGUGAUGCAUGGCCGUCGUCAGCUCGUGUCGUGGGAUGUUUGGUUAAGUCCAUCAACGAGCGCAACCCUUGUGAAUAGUUGUAUUUUUCUAUUCAGACCGCCCCGGCAACGGGGAGGAAGGAGGGGAUGACGUCAGGUCAGUAUUUCCCUUACGUCCUGGGCUAGAAACGUGAUACAAUGGCUAGUACAAUGCGCAGCGAAGCCGCGAGGUGAAGCAAAUCGCAUCAAAGCUAGUCCCAGUUCGGAUUGUAGGCUGAAACUCGCCUGCAUGAAGUCGGAAUCGCUAGUAAUCGCAGAUCAGCAUGCUGCGGUGAAUACGUUCCCGGGUCU